rnacentral:tRNA from 1 species
GCCAGUGUAGCACAAUGAUAGUGCAUUGCUUUCCUAUACCCCAUAUGGUUCACAUAUAAUAUGUUAAGGCAAUGGUUGUGGGUUUGAUCCCCACUGUUGGUU